AUGCCAAGGGAAACACACGCAAAGAACACUAGUGAACCAGUCUCCUCUUUGCUUCCUUUCUUUCCUCACUGCUGCACAGCUCCCUCAUGCCAGAACCUCGCUGCUGCCUCACAUGAGGGUUCAGAGCUGCUUCCAGGCCCUUCCAGGCAAAGUGCAGGUCCUCAGGUGUCUGAGGUUUUCUUAGCAUCUCACAAGAAAGUGUUUGCCACAUCUGGACUUCAUGGGAUUUCAACAGAGGAACCAGGCACGUGCAAAUUUCAAGUCCAGCCUGAACUCAUCAUUCCCCUGGUUCGCAUGGACCUUAAGUGCUACCCUGAGCUCACUGUUCCACCAGUUCCCGUAAACCAUGACAGCACUUCUGUGGCCUCUCCAGAGAGCAGCAGCAGCAAAUCUUCAGAGCAGCACACCCCAGUCAAUGACCCAUCAGCCACUCCAGGCACUUCAGCUCCCAGUGCUCCAGCUGGCUAUGCUGGUUAUGCACCAUGGACAGCCCCCAGGUGGCUCUGGUAUACUCCUGGGGAAGAGGAAUUGCCACCACUGGAUCUGGACCUGGUGCUUGAGACACUGGAGGAGAUGCUUUCGACUUCCCCGUCUGCAAGGUCUCCCUCUGCUCAGGACACUGUUGCCCCUGAGUGCUCAGGAGGGGAGCCUGUGAACAAGGCUGCAGCAGGGGGAGUUUUGCCUGGCACUGAAAACUGCAGGAACAGUUCCCAGGAACCCAAGGAGCUUGGUAAGGACAGAGCCCAUAUUGGUUUAGAGAGGUGUGAGACAGCUGCUCUGAGCCUGCCUCUGACAGGAAGGGAGAUCAGAAGAGUUGAGUUCUUGUCUGCAGAGCUGGUGCUUCCCGGUGCCUUUAGUUCAGAUCCUGCACUGACAAAACCUCCCCGAGCCCUGCCCUCCACGCUUCUCCAGAGGCUCUGA
ensembl:lncRNA